GGUAUGUGGCUCAGUGCUAGAGCACUUGCCUGGCAUGUGUGAGGCCCUGGGUUCCAUCCCCAGUACUG
rnacentral:tRNA from 1 species